UAGCUAAGUGGGUAAAGAAUCUGCCUGCAAUGCAGGAGACCUGGGUUCGACCCCUG
rnacentral:tRNA from 1 species